UUCAUUAUAAAAAGUCAAUGAGUGUGACAUCAGAAGCAGCAGGUCUGUGGGUUCACUGGUUAUUGUUGAGUGUUUUUGUCCCAUUUUCCGCUAUCAGAGAGCCGAGGAAGUGAGCCUGAUAAGAGGGCUGAUUAGUUUAUGGAUCUGUGUGUGUGUGUGUGUGUGUGUGUGUGUGUGUGUGUGUGUGUGUGUGUGUGUGCUCGCUAUGACAUGUGAAGCCUUCAGCAGUCGCUCCGUGUUUGGAACAGCCCUCUGUGCAGACUUAAUCACAUUUCUUGUUGCCAGCUGGCCCGGGGCUCUCGGUGUGGUAGUUAACGAGGUCCUCAGCUAACCUGGAAGGUCAGAGGCGGGCGUCACCAUGGAGGCGAGCCGACGCUCUGCUCACUCUGCUGCUGUUCAACCCACUGCUUAUAAAUCCACAUGAUACACUCUGUAAUCUGUUUUUAAUUGAAGCUAUUUGAGAUAACAGUUUCAUGGGAACAAUCUGUCAAUAACACAAUAAGGUUGUGUGAAAAUCGAACCCAAAAUAUUUGUAGAUGAGUUUUUUGAUUUAAAAUAUCACCAGGCUGUAAACACUUUUAUUUCUGUUGUAAAAGUUGUCAGUUUAAAUUUGGGACUUGAUGGGGAUCCCUCAGUUUGUGCAGCAAGCAUCUAGUGGACGCUCGAGGAAGUGUUGUUUUUUGCACUUCCUCCUUGGCUUCAUCUUUUUAGCAACAGAAGUUGCUGCUUGCUUUCAAGCAAUGUUUUUUAAAUGUUCGGUUUCUGUGGAUAUUUGGCGCCCUCUGUGGACAAACUAUGGAUUACAUAUGGAUGCAGUAACCCUUAAAGGGGACAUAUUAUGAAUAAUCCACUUUCACAGUGUUUUUGAACAUAUAUCUGGGUAACCUGAGUGUCUACCGACCCACAAAAUGUGAAAUAAACUCAUCCAGUCC